rnacentral:rRNA from 1 species
GACGAACGCUGGCGGCGUGCUUAACACAUGCAAGUCGAGCGGUAAGGCCCUUUCGGGGGUACACGAGCGGCGAACGGGUGAGUAACACGUGGGUGACCUGCCCUCAGCUCUGGGAUAAGCCUGGGAAACCGGGUCUAAUACUGGAUAUGACUCCAUGACGCAUGUUGUGGGGUGGAAAGCCUUGUGCGGCUGAGGAUGGGCCCGCGGCCUAUCAGCUCGUUGGUGGGGUGAGGCCUACCAAGGCGACGACGGGUAGCCGGCCUGAGAGGGCGACCGGCCACACUGGGACUGAGACACGGCCCAGACUCCUACGGGAGGCAGCAGUGGGGAAUCUUGCGCAAUGGGCGAAAGCCUGACGCAGCGA